GAUGAACGCUGGCGGCGUGCCUAAUACAUGCAAGUCGAGCGAACAGACGAGGAGCUUGCUCCUCUGACGUUAGCGGCGGACGGGUGAGUAACACGUGGAUAACCUACCUAUAAGACUGGGAUAACUUCGGGAAACCGGAGCUAAUACCGGAUAAUAUAUUGAACCGCAUGGUUCAAUAGUGAAAGACGGUUUUGCUGUCACUUAUAGAUGGAUCCGCGCCGCAUUAGCUAGUUGGUAAGGUAACGGCUUACCAAGGCAACGAUGCGUAGCCGACCUGAGAGGAGGAUGGCCCACACGGGAAUGGAGACAGGUUCCAGACACAUGCGGGGGGAGCAAGUAGGGAAUCUUCCGCAAUGGGCGAAAGCCUGAGGGAGCAAGCCGGCGGGGGGGAGGAAGGUCUUCGGAUCUAAAAACUUUUUUAUUGGGGAAAAAAAAAUGUGUAAUUAACUAUGCACGUCUUGAGGGUACCUAAUCAGAAAGCCACGGCUAACUCCGUG
rnacentral:rRNA from 1 species